GACGAACGCUGGCGGCGUGCUUAACACAUGCAAGUCGAACGGAAAGGCCCUGCUUUUGUGGGGUGCUCGAGUGGCGAACGGGCGAGUAACACGUGAGUAACCUGCCCUUGACUUUGGGAUAACUUCAGGAAACUGGGGCUAAUACCGGAUAGGAGCUCCUGCUGCAUGGUGGGGGUUGGAAAGUUUCGGCGGUUGGGGAUGGACUCGCGGCUUAUCAGCUUGUUGGUGGGGUAGUGGCUUACCAAGGCUUUGACGGGUAGCCGGCCUGAGAGGGUGACCGGCCACAUUGGGACUGAGAUACGGCCCAGACUCCUACGGGAGGAAGCAGUGGGGAAUAUUGCACAAUGGGCGGAAGCCUGAUGCAGCAACGCCGCGUGCGGGAUGACGGCCUUCGGGUUGUAAACCGCUUUCGCCUGUGACGAAGCGUGAGUGACGGUAAUGGGUAAAGAAGCACCGGCUAACUACGUG
rnacentral:rRNA from 1 species